GAGACGAAUUUGAAACAAGAUCCGGGCCCUACGGGCGCAGCAGGCGCGAAACCUUUACACUGCACGCCAGUGCGAUAAGGGAAUCCCAAGUGCGCAGGCAUAGAGCCUGCGCUUUUGUUCACCGUAGGGAGGUGAACGAAUAAGGGCUGGGCAAGACCGGUGCCAGCCGCCGCGGUAAUACCGGCAGCCCGAGUGAUGGCCGAUCUUAUUGGGCCUAAAGCGUCCGUAGCUGGCCGCGCAAGUCUAUCGGAAAAUCCACCCGCCCAACGGGUGGGCGUCCGGUAGAAACUGCGUGGCUUGGGACCGGAAGGCGCGACGGGUACGUCCGGGGUAGGAGUGAAAUCCCGUAAUCCUGGACGGACCGCCGAUGGCGAAAGCACGUCGCGAGGACGGAUCCGACAGUGAGGGACGAAAGCCAGGGUCUCGAACCGGAUUAGAUACCCGGGUAGUCCUGGCCGUAAACAAUGUCUGUUAGGUGUGGCUCCCGCUACGAGCGGGUGCUGUGCCGUAGGGAAGCCGCUAAACAGACCGCCUGGGAAGUACGUCCGCAAGGAUGAAACUUAAAGGAAUUGGCGGGGGAGCACUACAACCGGAGGAGCCUGCGGUUUAAUUGGACUCAACGCCGGACAUCUCACCAGCAUCGACUGUAAUAAUGACGAUCAGGUUGAUGACCUUAUCCGAGUUUCAGAGAGGAGGUGCAUGGCCGCCGUCAGCUCGUACCGUGAGGCGUCCUGUUAAGUCAGGCAACGAGCGAGACCCGCAUCCUUACUUGCCAGCAGCACUGCGAAGUGGCUGGGGACAGUAGGGAGACCGCCGUGGCCAACACGGAGGAAGGAACGGGCAACGGUAGGUCAGUAUGCCCCGAAUGUGCUGGGCAACACGCGGGCUACAAUGGUCGAGACAAAGGGUUCCUACUCCGAAAGGAGACGGUAAUCUCAGAAACUCGAUCGUAGUUCGGAUUGUGGGCUGCAACUCGCCCACAUGAAGCUGGAUUCGGUAGUAAUCGCGUGUCACAAGCGCGCGGUGAAUACGUCCCUGCUCCUUGCACACACCGCCCGUCAAAGCACCCGAGUGAGGUCCGGAUGAGGCUCGUACACGAGU
rnacentral:rRNA from 1 species